CUCCACUCUGCUGCUGUUUAGUUUCAUAAAAGCUUUAGUUUCCAUUCAACUGAUCAGUAUGAAAACUUGAAGAAAAGUGCUUCUAAUUCUUGUCAAAUACUCCAUAAUUGUUGCAUAAAUGCAUGGCCAUGUACUGAAAGGUAACACAACAAACCAGGAUGCAAGACAUUUAAGGU